ensembl:lncRNA
GCAGCUUCUUCAUCACUACCUGCUCCGUUUGACUCAAAAAUGUAACGACCGGGUUCACUGUAAUUAGACAUAAAAUGUACAUAGUUUAUUUUUCAUGCAUUUAGGAUUUCAUGUUUUUUUUUUUUUUUUUUUUUUUUUUUUUUUUUUUUUUUUUACUCUUCGAGGAAAAGAAAUGAUCUUUCGAGGCAGCUUCUUCAUCACUACCUGCUCCGUUUGACUCAAAAAUGUAACGACCGGUUUCAAAAAGUCACGAUGUCUU